rnacentral:rRNA from 1 species
GACGAACGCUGGCGACGUGCCUAAUACAUGCAAGUAGAACGCAGUUGCGAACGGGCGAGUAACGCGUAGGUAACUGCCUGGUAGCGGGGGAUAACUACUGGAAACGAUCGCUAAUACCGCAUACUACCAGAUGGACCUGCGUUGUAUUAGCUAGUUGGGGAGGUAACGGCUCACCAAGGCAACGAUACAUAGCCGGCCUGGGAGGGUGGACGGCCAAACUGGGACUGAGACACGGCCCAGACUCCUACGGGAGGUAGCAGGAGGGAAACUUCGGCAAUGGGGGGAACGCUUACCGAGCAACGCCGCGUGAGUGAAGAAGGUUUUCGGGUCGUAAAGCUCUGUUGUUAAGGGAGCGGUACUUAACCAGAAAGGGACGGCUAACUACGUGCCAGCAGCCGCGGUAAUAC